rnacentral:rRNA from 1 species
CUAGGAUGAACGCUGGCGGCGUGCUUAACACAUGCAAGUCGAACGGAGUUUUAACGGAAGUUUCGGAUGGAAGUUUAGAAACUUAGUGGCGGACGGGUGAGUAACGCGUGGGUAACCUGCCUCAUACAGGGGGAUAACAGUUAGAAAUGACUGCUAACACCGCAUAAUAUAGCGAAACCGCAUGAUUUUGCUAUCAAAUAUUUAUAGGUAUGAGAUGGGCCCGCGUCUGAUUAGCUAGUUGGUGGGGUAAAAGCCUACCAAGGCGACGAUCAGUAGCCGGCUUGAGAGAGUGACCGGCCACAUUGGGACUGAGACACGGCCCAAACUCCUACGGGAGGCAGCAGUGGGGAAUAUUGGACAAUGGGGGAAACCCUGAUCCAGCCGACGCCGCGUGAGUGAAGAAGUAUUUCGGUAUGUAAAGCUCUAUCAGCAGGGAAGAUAAUGACAGUACCUGACUAAGAAGCCCCGGCUAACUACGUGCCAGCCGCGGC